CGCCCUUCCAGAGGGGGACAACAGUUGGAAACGACUGCUAAUACCGCAUACGAUCUAACCUCGGCAUCGAGGAUGGAUGAAAGGUGGCCUCUAUUUAUAAGCUAUCACUGAAGGAGGGGAUUGCGUCUGAUUAGCUAGUUGGAGGGGUAACGGCCCACCAAGGCGAUGAUCAGUAGCUGGUCUGAGAGGAUGAACGGCCACAUUGGGACUGAGACACGGCCCAG
rnacentral:rRNA from 1 species